AAGCAGUUGUGGAAAACUGCUUUAAAUGUCAUAGAGCACUCAGAAGGAAUUCAUAAAUGACCUCAUAAAGAAGUCCACUGUGGUUUCCCUGCAGAGGUGGGAAUAGAAUCAGAGUGCUAAGGAUUGAGGGAUUAAGAGGAGGUGAUUGUAUUAUUCCUCUUUUCAGAUAAUGGAGAGAGAGAAGAGAACAGCAGUAGCCGUUGCCAGAAAUAUUGAGCAAGGCGGAUUUAUUAGAUGAAGAUAUCAAAAUACUUUCCAUUGAGGAAACAGGUUGGAGGUGGGAGGCUGUAACCAUGCUUGAUUUUGUACCACCCUAACCUUUGCUUGAUCCAGGUUCCAGUCCAAUAUGCACCAUUCAGCCUGGUUGCAGCAUGUUAAGCAGCCCUGGAGGCAGCAGAUGAGGGAUCCUAUGAAGCAACUUUCAGACAUUCAGAACCAAGACAAAAAAAAAGAGAAUUAAAGUAAAAUAUGAUGUACCCAGGAGUUACAUCAGUGAACCAAAUACAGCCUCAAAUUUCGAUCUGUGCUUCACAGCAGCCAGCAAAAAGAACAAAACAUAUUUUGUUAGUUCAUAUAAAUAAAUAAAUUAAAAAUGCAUGAAUAAAUAAAUAAAGCAAACCAGUUUCUCGAUUCUGAAAUAUUUUCUGGAAGUGAGAACUGAAAGGAAUUUCCACCAUGGACCCACAAGCAGUUGUUGGUGGCAUAUAUAAUGAGUGCUGGGUGUUAAGGAAGCAAUGGUGAAGGAGAGACACCCUCCCGACCCUCAUGGUGCUUGCAGCCUAGUGGAGCUAUGAAAAGAUAGGCAAGUGAGUCCUAUGAUUGGAGAAGUAAUGAGAAGUAAUGAGAAGCGUCUUCUAAGCAUAGGGGUAAAGACUGCAAAGACCCUGAAGGGAGAAAGUAAUGGCCAUUCUGAGAACUGAAAGUUUGCACAGUGCACAGAGGGCAUGAAGAACGAAGGAAAGAUGGCAAGUUGCUUAAAACCUAAAGCUCCUUUCAAUUCUUUACAAUCCAAGAUUAUAUGGAAUGGACUGGGAACAAAGAGAGGGACUGGCAUUUAAAGUCUUUUAUACACUUUGGAACAAAUGUUAUUCUCCAUUCAUCCUGACACUAAAUUGGUUAGCCAAACCCAAAGAUCUACUAAUAAUCCUGCUUUGGCAUGGGAGAAUGAGUGAGAUAAGGAGGCAAUAGAGGAGAUGAAUCGACAAAUGGAAGGAAUAGAAUUCUGGUUGAUGUCCUUGUCUCUAAGCUGUAGCAGCAAGUAUUUAUCCUAAUCAUGUGGUGUUAGCACGGAGAUGAGAAAGAGAGAAAGACAACAUCAUGCUUUGCUGUCUGUGUGUGAACUGAGUAACAGCUGUGAAGGAUCAGUCACCAAAAGACUUUGAAAGAAGAGGCUUGAUUGGUCACGGUAAUGAUGCUCCCCUGGCCAUGGAAGUUUAAUUGGGAGAAAAGAACAUCUGCUUAUACGAAAACAUAUUAUAUUCAGCCAUCCCUGCCCUGACUUUGGCCUUUAAAAACAGUGGCAUUAAUUAUCUCAACAAAUGAAUCUUCGGGAUAAAAAUAAUCUAAAUAUUAUUUUACGCUUACUACAUAUUUGCAACGUGCUAAGCUCUUUAUGGUUGCUACCACAAAAAACAUUUAUAAUAUGAGACUUCACAAGGUUAGGAACAGGCUUCACUUCAUUGUGAUGUGUGUAAGGUGACAGAGGACAUAUAACGAAUACGUGGAAGAACUAGGAAUUUGACCUUAGCUUCCAGACAUUUUGAGGAGGAUACACUAUGUCCAUCUUGCUUUCCUAUCAAGAAAAGUAUACCCAGUUUGUGCAGUAGCCCUGUACCAACAGAUACAUUACAGCAGGUUGUUUCCGUAUUUUGGCUAUUGUGAAUAGUGCUGCAAUAAACAUGGAAGUGCUGAUAUAUCUUUGAGAUCUUGACUUCAAACAAAAGAAGAAAAUCUUGCAAUAUAUGACAACACGGAUUAACCUGGAGGACAUUGUGCUUAGUGAAGUUAGCCAGUCACAGACUGACAAGUACUGCACGAUUCCACUUAUGAAGACUACAGUUCCUAUCUUCACAGGUGGCUGUUAGCUCUAAAUGAACUCAUUUAUUUUGAAAGCAUGAUUUAAAGUAUAGUUUUAAACUAUAAGCAUUUCAGAAGUGAUGACCCAUGACUCAAAUCUCAAAAAUAAAUGCUACAGUUCACAGUUGGAAUAUGGACACAAGAAAAAUAAUAGAUGAUGCCACUGAAAGGUAAACAUACCAUUCUGACAUGCAUGAAAAUGAAACGACAAAUUGAUACACGCAGUGCUUGGAAUGGAUGGAGUCCUUCUAAUGAGUGAUUACCUGUGGUAUAACUAUAUUGAUUGUGUUUGUACAUGUCAAAUGGGGCUGGCGAGGAUGAACUUGAAGAAAUCAAUCUUGGAACCUGCUAGGACAGCAGCCUCCUGGUUUCACAGUACUAAAUCAUGACUUCAAAAUUUUGAAGUAAAAGAAAACUGCAAAACUUUGUAAAGGUACCAGUCUCUUCCUGACACUAUUUGCCUUGGCAAAAGAUUCACUGUCAACUUAAAAGACUAACAUGUGCUCAGAUGAUGAUUUGUGGAGGACAGAUAAUUAUGAGUACAUUUAGAAAUACACACUCUUCCAAACCCUGCUCUUUCCAUAUAAUGAAGUUAUUUAUUUCUAUUUUUUAUUUAUUUUUCUAAUAAUUACAAACAUACUUUGGAGACCCACAUUCCUGUAUUAUUCUUUCAACAUACUGAAGAAGAGUUAUUUCUAUGCUUCUUUCUAUGUGUUGGGCUUAAGAUUUAUUAGAAGGAAUGUGUAAAAACAAAGGCAGCAAAGUUUCUAUUUUUAUUGGGAGUCACUCCCGGAGUAAGUGGGGAUAGUUGUGCACACACACACACACACAUUCAUGCACAAAGAAAGAGUGAUCAAGUGUAUAACACACUUUUAGCAGUGUUUUGCUGGAAGAAUAAAGUAUAACUCCUUGUCCGCCCUUUUAUUAUACUGGGGUUCACACUAAGAGAGUCUGAGGACCUGUGGAACUCCCAUUUGCAUGAAAUAACUUUUGCAUCUAUUCUGGAGGAAAACUUCCUAAGGCAGAUUUGGACAGAAAAUUGCUAUCAGCGCAAAUAAAACAAUGCAAAGCCUACUCCGGGGAACGUUGCUCUGCCACCACUACUGAAAUGGGUCAUCCCCUUGGUUUCUGAAUAAAGAAUUAUGAAACCUGGGGCUAGAAUGCUCAGGGAGGAAUUUACCAAUCCAAAUCUUCCCCUUAUGGUAGAGAACAAACUUUCAAGGUUUGUUCUCCACUGUAAGUGUGCGAGGGCUGUUAGGGACCGUAAUAUGGCUGCCGGAGACUGGUGUGUGUACCUCCUUGACUGUACGUCUCAUUUCCAGUUAUGAUUUUACAAUCAUCUCUUUCUCAACCUUUGCUUUUAAAUAUAGGAAGGUACGGCUCACCAUGGAGCGGACAUUUUCUUCAGGAGCGGUACGGUGUCUAAGAUAUGCAGAGGUUGUAUUCUAGUCCUAUAACUCAAUUCUCAAACACAUGGCUUUUAGCCAGGGAUAUCCUAAAGGAAAAUUACACUAUAUGCAACCCCUCCUUACUCCUCAAAUAUUAUCUAUAUUAAACACAGCUGAAAUUUGAGAGUGUCCUUACAGGUGAAAAUUUAACAAUUUAACAAAAGGACACUGCUGAAUGUGUGGGGACAAAGGAAGGAUGAAUCUUUCAUCAUGACAAAAGACUACUUGCCACAUUCUCCCUUAACUUAGAAAAACA
rnacentral:lncRNA from 1 species